CCUACGGGUGGCAGCAGUGGGGGAUAUUGCACAAUGGGCGGAACCCUGAUGCAGCGACGCCGCGUGGGUGAAGAAGCGCCUCGGCGCGUAAAGCCCCUUCAGUAGGGGAGAAAAUGACGGUACGUGAAGCAGAAGCCCCGUCUAACUACGUGCCAGCAGCCGUGGUAAUACGCCGGGGGCCGGCGUUAUCCGGAUUUACUGGGUGUAAAGGGGGCGCAGACGGCGAUGAAAGUCAGGAGUGAAAGUCCGGGGCCCAACCCCGGGACUGCACUUGGAACUGGGAGGCUUGAGUGCAGGAGGGGCAGGCGGAAUUCGUGGUGUAGCGGUGAAAUGCGUAGAUAUCACGAAGAACUCCGAUGGCGAAGGCAGCCUGCUGGACUGCCACUGACGUUGAGGCUCGAAAGCGUGGGGAGCAAACAGGAUUAGAUACCCGUGUAGUC
rnacentral:rRNA from 1 species